UCCAUGAUAAGUUACCGUGCAAUUUAAUCCUUCGAUCAUAUAACAUCCCAAAAAGGCUAUGGGUAUGAAAAUAUGUCAAAUCUAAAUACCUAACCAUAUGUAUCUCGGUCUGAUGAUGAUGACUCGAAUGAUAAACCAGUAAAAAUUAUUUCUACUGUUCAUCCCUACUCUGGCUAGAGACUCUAAGAGUCACCAUCCUAUGAGAUCACAUAAGAUGUUCUCUCCUCCUACAAAGAGUGACCGAUUCCUUAUUGACCACUCACAACAUCCAUGCAUACUUUACCGUACCCAGAAUAUCUUACAUACAUCUCAAAGUGAUAUG
rnacentral:lncRNA from 1 species